rnacentral:lncRNA from 1 species
UCUUGGUCAGGCUGGUCUUGAACUCCUGACCUCAAAUGCUCUGCCCGCCUCAGCCUCCCAAAGUGCUGGGAUUACAGGCUUGAGCCACCACACCCGGCCUGUCCUUUAUUUUUAUUUGCUGCCCUUGCCACGCCUCCAACCCUGAAAGGAUUAACUGAAUGAGAGAGGAGGAUCAGUCCAUAGAUGAGGAAAGAGAGAAGCAACUAAACCAGCCAUCUUCUUCCCUGAGUGUUGCUGGCAGCAGGCCUGAGUUUGGGGGUAGGAAAGGAGGAGAAAGCCACAACUGACAGUUACAGAAAGCUUUUCAUGGUUCACUGACUGAGGACAAUCAACCCCUUCAUAAUCCAUAACCCAAAGAUUGAACUGUCUGAGAACACCAGAGAAAGACUGCUCCUGCCAUCCACAUUGCAGCAAACCUUCAGGACCUUGAACCUUGGGUUCAUAGUCUUACAACUCAGAAGCAUCCCUCCACACUCUCAAAACUGGACAUCCUUGGGAACCCUUAAGGUAAAGCUAACCAGGGAAGAUUUUCUGCCCAGAAGAUGGCAUCCUUUUCCCCAAGAUCACAGAAGCUUUUUCCCAAGAUCACAGAUCAAGACUUCUCUAGUACCAUGAGACUCUUAUCUUUGAAUUUUUCCCCUUGCUAUGCCUCUAUAAACAAUAGAAGUAAAAAUGGAAUCUGUUGUGUGCACUCAUGGGGUAUACUUUUAUUUGUGAAGGAUGCUGCAGCCAUGCAGACUUAUACAUGGAUAACAGAUAUGGUUUGGCUCUGUGUCCCCACCCAAAACUCAUGUUGAAUUGUAAUCCCCAGUGUUUGUGAGGACUGGUGGGAGGUGAUUGGAUCAUGGUUGUGGUUUCUAAUGGUUUAACGUGAUCCCUUUAGUACUGUCUUGUGAUAGAGUUCUCAUGAGGUCUGGUUGUUUAAAAGUGUGUGGAACCUUCCUGUUCACUCUUUCUCCUGCUCUGACAAGUGAAGAUGUGACUGCUUUUCCUUCAACUUCUGCCAUGAUUGUAAAUUUCCUGAGGCCUCUUCAGCCAUGCUUCCUGUACAACCUGCAGAACUGUGAGUCAAUUAAACCACUUUUUUUUUAUAAAGUACCCAGUCUCAGGUACUUCUUUAUAGCAAUACAAGAACGGACUAAUACAAUAAACUUAUGCCUUGAUAGAUGGAAGAUGAAGGCCCAAUGUAGGUGAGAAAUUUUAAUGGUAUGUACAUUGCUCCAUAAUCAGUCAGAAAGAACUCCUCUCAACCUACAGUGUGGGUUAAAAGAACAUUGCCAGAAGGUCGUCAUUCUUCUAGAAGGGCAUCAUUUGUUAGGUACUUUUUUCCAUAGUUAGUAAAGGAGGCAAUGAUUAGAAA